CCUACGGGAGGCAGCAGUAGGGAAUAUUGCUCAAUGGGGGAAAGCCUGAAGCAGCAACGCCGCGUGGAGGAUGAAGGUUUUAGGAUUGUAAACUCCUUUUGUUAGAGAAGAUUAUGACGGUAUGUAACGAAUAAGCACCGGCAAACUCCGUGCCAGCAGCCGCGGUAAUACGGAGGGUGCAAGCGUUACGCGGAAUCACUGGGCGUAAAGAGUGCGUAGGCGGGGUAAUAAGUCAGAUGUGAAAUCCUGUAGCUUAACUACAGAACUGCAUUUGAAACUGUUACUCUUGAGUGUGGGAGAGGUAGGUGGAAUUCUUGGUGUAGGGGUAAAAUCCGUAGAGAUCAAGAGGAAUACUCAUUGCGAAGGCGACCUGCUAGAACAUAACUGACGCUGAUGCGCGAAAGCGUGGGGAGCAAACAGGAUUAGAUACCCCUGUAGUC
rnacentral:rRNA from 1 species